AGCAGACUUAAGCUUGUGGUAAUUGGUUUGUUGAUAACUGCAUUCGUUGUAAAAUUUUGCAUGCAAAAUGGAGAAGAAAACAUUAUUAGAAACUCAAUUAUACAACCAACAAACUGUUGGAAACAAAGGGGUAUGGAGAAGAGACAAAAGGAAUAACAAAAAUUAUAGCAACAAGAUGAAAAAAUUAGAAAGUUGUCAAGAACAAAUUUGAAAGCUCGAACGCGAGAUAGCUUUCCUCAAAUGAUAUUUGCCCCCUUUCGAGAUUGAAUGAGAUGCUUAAAAGUUUUGGAAAACGACUUGUAGGAAUAUAUCAAGCCUUGUAAAGGAUUUAACACUAAAGCACAAGGGCAAUCCUCCAAAAAUUUUAAGAACACAAAGGAAGAUAUUGAAUAUGAAUGUAAAUCAAUAGUUUGAUUCAAUGUGGAAUGAUAUGUGGAUAUCAAGAUGUUUGUC
rnacentral:lncRNA from 1 species